rnacentral:rRNA from 1 species
AUACGUAGGGGGCGAGCGUUGUCCGGAAUGAUCGGGCGUAAAGGGCGCGUAGGCGGCGCGGUAAGUCUGGAGUGAAAGUCCUGCUUUCAAGGUGGGAAUUGCUUUGGAUACUGCCGCGCUUGAGUGCAGGAGAGGUUAUCGGAAUUCCCGGUGUAGCGGUGAAAUGCGUAGAGAUCGGGAGGAACACCAGUGGCGAAGGCGGGUAACUGGACUGCAACUGACGCUGAGGCGAGAAAGUGUGGGGAGCAAACAGGAUUAGAUACCCUGGUAGUCCACACUGUAAACGAUGAAUGCUAGGUGUAAGAGGUAUCGACCCCUUUUGUGCCGGAGUCAACACAAUAAGCAUUCCGCCUGGGGAGUACGGCCGCAAGGUUGAAACUUAAAGGAAUUGACGGGG